GAUCCAGAAACUCACUGAAUUUAAUCUAAGAUUGCUAACAAGAGUUUCCUGGGGCUUUGGAGGGGACCAUCAGGAGUGGUGCUGCUCCCGGAGAAAUAAGAAAACUGUGUCAGUCAGGGCUCAGCUUCAGCUUGAAGUGGCAGAAAUGCAGCUCACACUGGUGUAGGUCAGGGAAGUCCACAUGAAGCGGGGAGAGCAAGGUGUGACUGGGUCUCUGUGAGGCUGGAAUAGGGAGCGGGAGCUCAGCAUGGUGCUCUUGCGUCUUUCUCUGUGCAAACUUUGCUUCCUCCACUCACACUGGCUGAGCCUCACACUGACCACUGUGGACCCCAUUCCUCUGGCAUAACAGCUACGUGGGUAACAGACUCCAGCAUUCCCUCCAUGACGCCUGUUCACUGUCCUUGUAGAUUUCGAAAGGGCUAGAAGAGAAGAAUGUGAAUGUUCCCCGCAUAAAGGAAAGAGAUGGGGGUCACUAUGCUGCCCAGCUGAUCUUGAACUCCUGGCCUCAAAUGAUCCUCCUGCCUUGGCCUCUUAAAGUGCUUAGAUUACAGCAGGACAUUUUAAAAGCCCAGACCCCCUCCUUACAGAGCAAAUGUCCAGGCUUCGGAGGUCACUGUCACAUCCCAAGAACCCCCUUCACCAGGUGCCACUCUUGAGACUGGACUGAAGCCCCCUGGAGAGAACCACAACACCCUGGAAGGCAAGAAAUGGGGAGCUGCAUCUGCAUCCACAGGGUCCCACCAGCCUGGAACAUCCCCGCUGGUCUAGAAUCCCACCCCACACACCCCGCUGAUCCUGGGCCCGUCCCUGUGACCAGGAGACGGAGUCCAGGGACUCCCCAGGCCUGGGCCACGCGACUGCCCUAAGAGCCUGGCAUCAGGGAGCAGUGCUGUGUGCACCCCCAGGUCCACUGAGAGUAGGG
rnacentral:lncRNA from 10 species